rnacentral:rRNA from 1 species
AUUGAACGCUGGCGGAAUGCUUUACACAUGCAAGUCGAGCGGCAGCGCGGGGGCAACCCUGGCGGCGAGCGGCGAACGGGUGAGUAACAUAUCGGAACGUACCCAGUCGUGGGGGAUAACUAUCCGAAAGGAUAGCUAAUACCGCAUACGUCCUACGGGAGAAAGAGGGCCUCUGCUUGCACGCUCUCACUCCAGGAUGAGCCCACGUCCGAUUAGCUAGUUGGUAGGGUAAAGGCCUACCAAGGCCACGAUCGGUAGCUGGUCUGAGAGGAUGAUCAGCCACACUGGGACUGAGACACGGCCCAGACUCCUACGGGAGGCAGCAGUGGGGAAUAUUGGACAAUGGGCGCAAGCCUGAUCCAGCAAUGCCGCGUGUGUGAAGAAGGCCUGCGGGUUGUAAAGCACUUUCAGUGGGGAAGAAAUCGCCGUUUUUAAUACAGACGGUGGAUGACGGUACCGGAAGAAGAAGCACCGGCUAACUACGUGCCAG